CUGCAAUUGUGUGGAUUCUCCUGAUUCUCCAGGUUGAUAGCCAGGCACAAGUUCCUGUCCUUCACGGAGUAAACUGGGGCAGAUUGACGGGGGACCAGUCCAGUCACUGUUUUCUACGGUUAUUUUACCAUUUUGUUUCUUUUUGGUUAUUUUCCUUGGUUGAUUAUUUUCUUGUGAUUUCCUUUACAAGUGGUCUUUAGAUAUACUUUUUAUGGAAGUUUUGACAUAGGUUUCUCUCCUCAAUUUAUGUAUGCUCACAGCUUGAUCCUGUACAAGGCUGGGUCCGUGUCGACACACUGCCUCCUCGUGGUGAGACUGCACUGGGUGACACUCUGUUACGGUGUGUAUGUAGCCUCGACACUGUAGAUUUUGUAGUGACUUGCAUGAUAUUUUGUAGUGACUUGCAUGAUAUUUUGUAGUGACUUGCAUGAUAUUUUGUAGUGCCUUGCAUGAUACUUUGUAGUGAAUCGUGUAGAAAUAAGCGUGUAGUGCAUGUCCUUGUCGGUGCUGGGCCUUGUGUCUCCUCUUUCUGUCUCCCGGAGUGGUGUGCGCGUGCCGACCCAACCUUCCUACUUUGAG